rnacentral:hammerhead_ribozyme from 1 species
AUCCAGCUGGUGAGUCCCAAAUAGGACGAAAUGCGUGUCCUGGAU